rnacentral:rRNA from 1 species
GGAAACUGAGGCUAAUCCCGGAUACGGCUCGCUGCCUGGAGUUGGCGCGAGCUCGAAACGUUCAGGCGCGACAGGAUGUGGCUGCGGCCGAUUAGGUAGAUGGUGGGGUAACGGCCCACCGUGCCGAUAAUCGGUACGGGUUGUGAAAGCAAGAGCCCGGAGACGGAAUCUGAGACAAGAUUCCGGGCCCUACGGGGCGCAGCAGGCGCGAAACCUUUACACUGCACGCGAGUGCGAUAGGGGGACUCCAAGUGCGAGGGCAUACAGUCCUCGCUUUUUGCGACCGUAAGGUGGUCGCGGAAUAAGUGCUGGGCAAGACCGGUGCCAGCCGCCGCGGUAAUACCGGCAGCACGAGUGAUGACCGCUAUUAUUGGGCCUAAAGCGUCCGUAGCUACUUUCC